rnacentral:rRNA from 1 species
UACUGUAUCUUCCCAAGUCAAGCUGAUUCGCGAGUCGAUCAACAGUUUUGAGAUGGCUAUAACUAAACAGCUUAUACAGGUCAUAGCAUGUUUCAUGAGAGCAACACGUCAUAGCUGUAUCCUGGAUACCAUCAUGCUGUCUAAUCCUGUUCGAUCCCCACGCUUUCGUGCCCGAGCGUCAAUGCAGGCCUGGCGAGCUGCCUCCGCUAUCGGCGUUCUGUGGCAUAUCUACGCAUUUCACCGCUACACGCCACGUUCCGCCCGCCUCGACCGCAUUCCAGCCCGACAGUAUCAACGGCACUUCCGGGGUUGGGCCCCGGGCUUUCACCGCUGACUUGACAGGCCGCCUGCGCACCCUUUAAACCCAAUGAAUCCGGAUAACGCUCGCGUCCUCCGUAUUACCGCGGCUGCUGGCACGGAGUUAGCCGACGCUUAUUCCCCCGGUACCCCUCAGCACCCAUCGCGUGGGCGCCCUUGUCCCCGGGGUAAAGAGGCUUACGACCCGUAGGGCCUUCAUACCUCACGCGGCAUGGCUGGUUCAGUCUUCCGACCAUUGACCAAUAUCCCUUACUGCCUGCCUCCCGCAGGAGUUUGGUCCGUGUCUCAGUACCAGUGUGGGGGACCGUCAUGUCAGAUCCCGUACCCAUCGUCGACCUGGUGGGCCGUCGCCCCGCCAACUAUUUAAUGGGACGCAUACAAAUCCCCCACCGCGUAUCUGCUUUGACCGAAAAGGGAUGCCCAUAUUCGCCCGCAUGUCGGCUUAUCCGGCGUUUCCACCGGAUAUCCGCCCGUCGGGGGUUGAUGGCAUACGCAUUACGCACCCCUCCGCCACUCUCUAUCCCCCGGAGGGGAUCAUACCCUUUGCCUACCAUGUAUUAGGGCGGUACCUCUAGCGUUCAUCUUGCGGCAAAAUCAAACUCUCCGGGUUUCCCCAGAUGUCCUUUACUAUAUCGGCCGCCAGGAACACAACUUAUGGGGUCCUUGCUUCGUCGACGCGACGGGCUGUGAUACUAUUGCUCG